rnacentral:lncRNA from 1 species
AGUUCUUACUUGCUUUUGUGAUUAUGUUUGAGUUUUGUGAGUUUAUACACGAUUCGGAUCUGUUUGUUACUGUUUGUGGCCGUUUGUGAUGUUUGGAUGAUGAUGAUUUAUGUGUUAGUGUGGAGCGAUUCGAGGUUUGGUGAAAGGAUACGAAAAUGAUUGUUAAAAGAAUGGUUCACAUGAUUUUCGAAUUUGAAAUGUUCAUGAAGUUCAUGAUUUUUUCUGGUUUUUUUGAGAGUUUGAUCUAAAAAUGUGGAGAGAGGAUAUGAAUUUAGUGUUUGUGAACUGUUGUGGCUGUUGAUUGAUGUAUCAGUGUAAUAAUUUCUGUGCAGCCCAUUUCCCAAUGAUUGACAGGCUUUUAUAGUGACAAAUUAGGGUUGGCUCUGGUACAGAUCAAAGACCAAAAUACCCCUGCAGCUGAGACUUGGAGAA